CCGUCCGCGGGAAUUCGAUUCAGGCCUAACACAUGCCAGUCGAGCGGUAGAGAGAAGCUUGCUUCUCUUGAGAGCGGCGAACGGGUGAGUAAUGCCUAGGAAUCUGCCUGGUAGUGGGGGAUAACGUUCGGAAAAAAACGGUAAUACCGCAUCCGUCCUACGGGAGAAAGCAGGGGACCUUCGGGCCUUGCGCUAUCAGAUGAGCAUAGGUCGGAUUAGCUAGUUGGUGAGGUAAUGGCUCACCAAGGCGACGAUCCGUAUCUGGUCUGAGAGGAUGAUCAGUCACACUGGAAUUGAGACACGGUCCAGACUCCUCCGGGAGGCAGCAGUGGGGAAUAUUGGACAAUGGGCGAAAGCCUGAUCCACCCAAGGCGUGUGUGUGAAGAAGGUCUUCGGAUGAAA
rnacentral:rRNA from 1 species